CCGCCGGCGACCGGCGCACGGGUGAGUAACACGUAUGCAACCUGCCCCUGUCAGGGGGACAACCCGCCGAAAGGCGGGCUAAGCCCGCGUACAUGCCACCGGGGCAUCCCGGAGGCAGGAAAGGCUUCGGCCGGACAGGGAUGGGCAUGCGGCGCAUUAGGCAGUAGGCGGGGUAACGGCCCACCGUGGCGACGAUGCGUAGGGGUUCUGAGAGGAAGGUCCCCCACACUGGUACUGAGACACGGACCAGACUCCUACGGAAGGCAGCAG
rnacentral:rRNA from 1 species